CCUUUUUAGCUCACCUGUCCCGAAGGGACAAGUGAGCUUAUGCCAUCACUUGGCGUCCGUCGUCGUCCGUCGUCUGUCGUCUGUCGUCGUAAACUAUUUCAAGAAUCUUCUCCUCUGAAACUACUGGGCCAAAUACUUUCAAACUUUAACUGAAUGUUCCUUAGGGUAUCUUAUUUAUAAAUUGUAUCAGAAGUUUUGAUCUAUCAACAAACAUGGUCGCCAUUGCUAAAAAUAGAACAUAGAGGUCAAAUGCAGUUUUUGGCUUAUAACUCAAAAACCAAAGCAUUUAGAGCAAAUCUGACAGGGGUAAUAUUGUUUAUCAGGUCAAGAUCUAUCUGCCCUGAAAUUUUCAGAUGAAUCAGACAACCCAUUGUUGGGUUGCUGCCCCUGAAUUGGUAAUUUUAAGGAAAUUUUGCUGUUUUUGGUUAUUAUCUUGAAUAUUAUUAUAGAUAGAAAUAAACUGUAAACAGGAAUAAUGUUCAGCAAAGUAAGAUUUACAAAUAAGUCAACAUGACGGAAAUGGUCAGUUGACCCCUUUAGGAGUUAUUGCCCUUUAUAGUAAAUUUUUAACCAUUUUUCGUAAAUCUUAGUAAUCUUUUACAAAAAUCUUCUCCUCUGAAACUACUGGGCCAAAUACUUCCAAACUUAAAUUGAAUGUUCCUUAGGGUAUCUAGUUUGUAAAUGU
rnacentral:lncRNA from 1 species